AGUGAACGCUGGCGGUAGGCCUAACACAUGCAAGUCGAACGGCAGCACAGUAAGAGCUUGCUCUUACGGGUGGCGAGUGGCGGACGGGUGAGGAAUACAUCGGAAUCUACUUUUUCGUGGGGGAUAACGUAGGGAAACUUACGCUAAUACCGCAUACGACCUACGGGUGAAAGCAGUGGAUCUUCGGACCUUGCGCGUUUGAAUGAGCCGAUGUCGGAUUAGCUAGUUGGCGGGGUAAAGGCCCACCAAGGCGACGAUCCGUAGCUGGUCUGAGAGGAUGAUCAGCCACACUGGAACUGAGACACGGUCCAGACUCCUACGGGAGGCAGCAGUGGGGAAUAUUGGACAAUGGGCGAAAGCCUGAUCCAGCAAUACCGCGUGGGUGAAGAAGGACUUCGGGUUGUAAAGCCCUUUUGUUGGGAAAGAAAAGCAGCAGGUUAAUACCCCGCUGUUCUGACGGUACCCAAAGAAAAAGCACCGGCUAACUUCGUG
rnacentral:rRNA from 1 species